GGGAGCAACACUGUUCAUGCAAAGCUGGCAAACCACAAUGCAGCUCCUAAACAGAAACAAGCAGGGGAAGCACAAGCAUUUUGGAACUAAUGAAGAAGAUGAAAAUAAUAACCAACACUAACAUCAACUCAUAUUUGCAAAGCAUGUCGAUCAAAAACAAGAAAUUGGGUUGAAGUGACCACAGUGAUGCAGUUGAUGUAUAAUCCUAAUAUACUCCUACUUAUUUUCCAGUAUAUGGCAUAUCUAAGUGCUUUUGUUUUUGUUUUCUGGCACCUGGCCAGAGCAUAUAAACAUUUAGCACAACAAUAUCAUUAUCUUGUUAUGUGCAUUCAACACUGAACUGGGGUAAAAAAAAAAAAAAAAAAGGAUUCCAAAGUUAUUUGUCAUUAGUAUAAGCCUACCUUAGAAU